rnacentral:rRNA from 1 species
GACGAACGCUGGCGGCGUGCCUAAUACAUGCAAGUAGAACGCUGAAGCGAGGAGCUUACUCUUCUUGGAUGAGUUGCGAACGGGUGAGUAACGCGUAGGUAACCUGCCUUGUAGCGGGGGAUAACUAUUGGAAACGAUAGCUAAUACCGCAUAACAAUGGAUGACACAUGUCAUUUAUUUGAAAGGGGCAAUUGCUCCACUACAAGAUGGACCUGCGUUGUAUUAGCUAGUAGGUGAGGUAAUGGCUCACCUAGGCGACGAUACAUAGCCGACCUGAGAGGGUGAUCGGCCACACUGGGACUGAGACACGGCCCAGACUCCUACGGGAGGCAGCAGUAGGGAAUCUUCGGCAAUGGGGGCAACCCUGACCGAGCAACGCCGCGUGAGUGAAGAAGGUUUUCGGAUCGUAAAGCUCGGUUGUAAGUCAAGAACGGGUGUGAGAGUGGAAAGUUCACACUGUGACGGUAGCUUACCAGAAAGGGAUGGCUAACUACGUG